rnacentral:rRNA from 1 species
UACGUAGGUGGCAAGCGUUGUCCGGAUUUAUUGGGUUUAAAGGGUGCGUAGGCGGCCCUGUAAGUCAGUGCUGAAAUAUCCCAGCUUAACUGGGAGGGUGGCAUUGAUACUGCGGGGGCUAGAGUACAGAUGAGGUAGGCGGAAUUGGACGGUGUAGCGGUGAAAUGCUUAGAUAUCGUCAAGAACACCUAUAGCGAAGGCAGCUUACUAGGCUGUAACUGACGCUGAGGCACGAAAGUGUGGGGAUCAAACAGG